rnacentral:rRNA from 1 species
GAUGAACGCUAGCUACAGGCUUAACACAUGCAAGUCGAGGGGCAGCAUGAACUUAGCUUGCUAAGUUUGAUGGCGACCGGCGCACGGGUGAGUAACACGUAUCCAACCUUCCGUUUACUCAGGGAUAGCCUUUCGAAAGAAAGAUUAAUACCUGAUAGUAUGGUGAGAUUGCAUGAUAACACCAUUAAAGAUUUAUUGGUAAACGAUGGGGAUGCGUUCCAUUAGGUAGUAGGCGGGGUAACGGCCACCUAGCCUGCGAUGGAUAGGGGUUCUGAGAGGAAGGUCCCCCACAUUGGAACUGAGACACGGUCCAAACUCCUACGGGAGGCAGCAGUGAGGAAUAUUGGUCAAUGGGCGAGAGCCUGAACCAGCCAAGUAGCGUGCAGGACGACGGCCCUACGGGUUGUAAACUGCUUUUAUGCGGGGAUAAAGUUGCCCACGCGUGGGUUUUUGCAGGUACCGCAUGAAUAAGACCGGCUAAUUCCGUG